UACAGAGGGUGCAAGCGUUAAUCGGAAUUACUGGGCGUAAAGCGCACGUAGGCGGCUAGGUCCGUCCGAUGUGAAAUACCCCAGCUCAACCGGGGAACUGCAUCGGAUACAGCCUGGCUUGAGGAUGGUUGGGGUGAGUGGAACUCCUGGUGGAGCGGUGAAAUGCGUAGAUAUCAGGAGGAACACCGGUGGCGAAAGCGGCUCACUGGACCAUUACUGACGCUGAGGUGCGAAAGCUAGGGGAGCAAACGGGAUUAGAUACCCUAGUAGU
rnacentral:rRNA from 1 species